GUGCUCGCUUUGGCAGCACAUAUACUAAAAAAUUGGAGCAAUACAGAGAUUAGCAUGGCCACUGCGCAAGGAUGACAUGCAAAUUCGUGAAGCGUUCCAUAUUUAA